GGGCUUGUAGCUCAGGUGGUUAGAGCGCACGCCUGAUAAGCGUGAGGUCGGAGGUUCGAGUCCUCCCAGGCCCACCA
rnacentral:tRNA from 1 species